UACGGGGGGGGUAAGCGUUGUUCGGAAUUACUGGGCGUAAAGGGCUCGUAGGCGGCCAACUAAGUCGGACGUGAAAUCCCUCAGCUUAACUGGGGAACUGCGUCCGAUACUGGAUGGCUUGGAUUUGGGAGAGGGAAGCGGAAUUCCAGGUGUAGCGGUGAAAUGCGUAGAUAUCUGGAGGAACACCGGUGGCGAAGGCGGCGUUCUGGACUGCAACUGACACUGUAAAACGAAAGCCAGGGGAGCAAACGGG
rnacentral:rRNA from 1 species